ACCAUCGAGAUGGUGACCCCAGUCCGGCAAGUUGCGUCAGCCUCCAUCAAGUUGGAGAACCCUCUGCCCUACUCGGUGACCUUCUCCACAGAAUGCCAGAUGCCCGACAUCGCCCUGCCCUCCCAGUUUGUGGUGCCUGCCAACUCCGAGCCCACCUGACGAGUUCCCCUCACUCCAGCUCCAGCUGACUUCCUUCUUCAGGCUGGUCAUUUGUGUUGGUUUCAAUGUCUAGUUAUCCUGAAAAAUGUGGCCAUGGAUCUCCUGGUACAUGUAUCCUCCCAAUGCGCAUAGGCAUACGUUGUUCCACAGCAUAUGCCUAGGAGUAGAACCACAGGUCAUAGAGUGUGCAUAGCUUUCACUUUAGUAGGUAAUUGCCAAUUAGUGAUGAGAGUUCCUAAUGUUCAACGUCUUCACCAACCCUUGGUAUUGUCGGUUUUUUUAAGGUUACUAAUCUGAUAAACUGCUAACUCCUCGUGGACUUAAUUUCCCUUUUUACAAACAGAUUGAUUUCAGUUGGGUAAUAUUAUAU
rnacentral:lncRNA from 1 species